rnacentral:rRNA from 1 species
UACGAAGGGGGCUAGCGUUGCUCGGAAUCACUGGGCGUAAAGCGCACGUAGGCGGCUUUUUAAGUCAGGGGUGAAAUCCUGGAGCUCAACUCCAGAACUGCCUUUGAUACUGGGAAGCUUGAGUCCGGGAGAGGUGAGUGGAACUCCGAGUGUAGAGGUGAAAUUCGUAGAUAUUCGGAAGAACACCAAUGGCGAAGGCAGCACUCUGGGACGUGACUGACGCUGAGACGCGAAAGCGUGGGGAGCAAACAGG